CCUACGGGUGGCAGCAGUGAGGAAUAUUGGUCAAUGGCCGGGAGGCUGAACCAGCCAAGUCGCGUGAGGGAGGACGGCCCUACGGGUUGUAAACCUCUUUUGUCAGGGAGCAAGGUGCAGGUCGGGACCUGCUGUGAGCGUACCUGAAGAAAAAGCAUCGGCUAACUCCGUGCCAGCAGCCGCGGUAAUACGGAGGAUGCGAGCGUUCUCCGGAUUUAUGGGGUUUAAAGGGUGCUCAGGCGGAGUCACAAGUCAGCGGUAAAAUCGCGGGGUUCAACCCCGCUCCGCCGGUGAAACGGGGUCACUUGAGUGGGAGAAGGGUAGGCGGAAUGCGUGGUGUAGCGGUGAAAUGCAUAGAUAUCACGCAGAACUCCGAUCGCGAAGGCAGCCUACCGGCGCGCAACUGACGCUCAUGCACGAAAGCGUGGGUAUCGAACAGGAUUAGAUACCCUAGUAGUC
rnacentral:rRNA from 1 species